rnacentral:rRNA from 1 species
AGUGAACGCUGGCGGUAGGCCUAACACAUGCAAGUCGAACAGCAGCACAGUAAGAGCUUGCUCUUACGGGUGGCGAGUGGCGGACGGGUGAGGAAUACAUCGGAAUCUACUUUUUCGUGGGGGAUAACGUAGGGAAACUUACGCUAAUACCGCAUACGACCUACGGGUGAAAGCAGGGGAUCUUCGGACCUUGCGCGAUUGAAUGAGCCGAUGUCGGAUUAGCUAGUUGGCGGGGUAAAGGCCCACCAAGGCGACGAUCCGUAGCUGGUCUGAGAGGAUGAUCAGCCACACUGGAACUGAGACACGGUCCAGACUCCUACGGGAGGCAGCAGUGUGGAAUAUUGGACAAUGGGCGCAAGCCUGAUCCAGCCAUACCGCGUGGGUGAAGAAGGCCUUCGGGUUGUAAAGCCCUUUUGUUGGGAAAGAAAAGCAGCAGGUUAAUACCCCGCUGUUCUGACGGUACCCAAAGAAUAAGCACCGGCUAACUUCGUG